rnacentral:lncRNA from 1 species
UCCGUCGAUUUUGAUGGUUGGCUGACUCGGAUAAAAUAGAAUUUGAGCCUUUACGGCUCUUCUCAAAAUGCAAGAGGGAUGACAGAAGUUCGUAGUGAACUCGGGCAGAUUUCAUGCAACAAAGACAAGUAAAAUCAUAUUAGCAUAGGAAAAGGAAACUCUAACGCACUUCUAAAAUGAACAACAUUAAGGCGACUAACAACUCAAUACAACAAAAGCAUAAUGAGAUGUUUAAGGACUAAUCUAAUAAAGCCAAUGACUUGGCCAACUACUUGUCACUCACUUGCUACAAUGAGAAAAAUGGCUAAAAGUUGUUUUGAUACACAUUCACAAAUACUACUAGAAUAUAAACAAAGAAAAUGUGGAAUGCAAAUCGUGAAUAUAAACUAGACACUAUAGGUACAUGCAACAUGCAAAUCGUGGACAAAUUCUAGUUUGACCUCGGUCCACUCUCCAUUUCCACGCAUAUACCCCUAAAUUGACACUGAUUAAAUGAACUAUUAAGAAUGCGGACAACAAACAUAUAUUUAGCACUUAAGACCGAAUUCUUGAGUAUACAUAGAAACUGUUAUCAAAUGAAAUUAACACUAUAUUUUAGACCAAUAAGACUAGGAGACAAAUGACUUAGCAAGUUUAACACCACAGUGAUCGAAACAAACAUAACUUAAUUACCAAAGUUGUAGUGAUUCUAUAAGGAAAAUCGAGUAAUGCGGAGUCAACAAAGGAUUCCUAUAAUUAUCAUUUAU